rnacentral:sRNA from 1 species
UGAUACCAGGGUCAAAAGGUCAUGCGUUUCAUGCUUGCAUGAAAAAGCAUGACUUUCGACCCCAACAUUGACAGAAAAUUGGAGUAUUGAACUGUAACAAAGGGCAGGGAAGCAUGUCAAACACGCUUCCCUGUUAAAACA